CACUUCUAAGGAAGGCAGCAGGCGCGCAAAUUACCCAAUCCUGACUCAGGGAGGUAGUGACAAGAAAUAACAAUAAACCGGCUUAUGCCGGUUUAAUUGGAAUGAGUACAAUUUAAACAUCUUAACGAGGAACAAUCGGAGGGCAAGUCUGGUGCCAGCAGCCGCGGUAAUUCCAGCUCCAAUAGCGUAUACUAAAGUUGUUGCAGUUAAAAAGCUCGUAGUUGGAUUUCUGUGGGGACGGAGCGGCCGGCCGCACAUCGCGGUUCGAGCUAGCGCUUUCCCUACAUCCUGCCGCGAACCGUGCUACCAUUAAUUUGGUGGCGCCGGGGAUCGGCUCGAUUACUUUGAGAAAAAUAGAGUGUUCAAAGCAGGCCACAUGCCUUGAAUAAGUUAGCAUGGAAUAAUAACUAAGGACUUCGGUUCUAUUUUGUUGGUGUUCGGGACUGAAGUAAUGAUUGAUAGGGACAGUUGGGGCGGUCUGUAUUCCAAAGCGAGAGGUGAAAUUCUUAGACCUUCGGAAGACAAACAGCUGCGAAAGCGUUCCGCAAGGAUGUUCCCUUUGAUCAAGAACGAAAGUUGGGGGAUCGAAGACGAUCAGAUACCGUCGUAGUCUCAACUAUAAACUAUACCAGCUAGGGAUCGGCCAACGUUAUUUUAUACCGACUUGGUCGGCACCUUAUGAGAAAUCAAAGCAUCUGGGUUCCGGGGGGAGUAUGGUCGCAAGGCUGAAACUUAAAGGAAUUGACGGAAGGGCACCACCAGCCGUGGAGCCUGUGGCUUAAUUUGACUCAACACGGGAAAACUUACCAGGUCCAGACAUAGUUAGGAUUGACAGAUUAAGAGCUCUUUCUUGAUUCUGUGGGUGGUGGUGCAUGGCCGUUCUUAGUUGGUGGAGUGAUUUGUCUGGUUAAUUCCGUUAACGAACGAGACCCCAGCCUGCUAAAUAGCGCGCGUGAGCUUUGCUCGCGGUGAGCUUCUUAGAGGGACUAUGAUGCGCGAUAGCACAUGAAAGUUUGGGGCAAUAACAGGUCUGUGAUGCCCUUAGAUGUUCUGGGCCGCACACGGGCUACGCUGGCGCCUGCAACGAGCAUAUCAGCUGGCCCGAGAGGGUCUUGGCUAAUCUUUUGAACCGGCGCCGUGCUUGGGAUUGACCUUUGCAAUUGUUGGUCAUGCAACGAGGAAUGCCUUGUAAACGCGAGUCAUCAGCUCGCAUUGAAUACGUCCCUACCCUUUGUACGCACCGCCCGUCGCUCCUACCGAUGAAUGUUCCGAUGAAAUUUUCGGAGAGUGCCUGUGAACUUGGCUCUGCCUUGCGAACGGGAAGCUCAAAGUCACUUAAAUCUGAACAUUUCGA
rnacentral:rRNA from 1 species